UAUUCUGCCCCAUGGGGAAGGAUGAGAAGCUUCGACUAAGGUUCGACUCGAGCGAAGCGAGA
rnacentral:sRNA from 1 species